rnacentral:rRNA from 1 species
UACGUAGGGUGCGAGCGUUAAUCGGAAUUACUGGGCGUAAAGCGUGCGUAGGCGGUCCGCAAAGUCUGAUGUGAAAGCCCCGGGCUCAACCUGGGAACUGCAUUGGAAACUAACGGGCUCGAGUGUGGCAGAGGGGGGUGGAAUUCCACGUGUAGCAGUGAAAUGCGUAGAUAUCGGGAGGAACACCAGUGGCGAAGGCGGCGAUCUGGGAAGAUACUGACGCUGAGGUGCGAAGGUCAGGGGAGCAAACGGG